rnacentral:rRNA from 1 species
UACGUAGGGUGCAAGCGUUAAUCGGAAUUACUGGGCGUAAAGCGUGCGCAGGCGGUUUUGUAAGUCUGUCGUGAAAUCCCCGGGCUCAACCUGGGAAUUGCGAUGGAGACUGCAAGGCUAGAAUCUGGCAGAGGGGGGUAGAAUUCCACGUGUAGCAGUGAAAUGCGUAGAUAUGUGGAGGAACACCGAUGGCGAAGGCAGCCCCCUGGGUCAAAACUGACGCUCAUGCACGAAAGCGUGGGGAGCAAACAGG